AGCCGCGGCACAGUCCUGAGGGAUUUACAGCUGGAGGGGAAUUUUACCUCAGGAUGGACCAUGGCCCAAACUUUACCCAUCCCUGAAUUAGAUGAGAUUUUGAACAUAACGUUGAUGCUGGAAUGCGUUAAGACUUUUCCGGCAGCCAGGAGAAGACCAAGACACACCAGAAGAAUUCCAUCUGACAAUGAAGGCAGAGAUUGGGGUUAUGCAAUUGCAAGCCAAGGAAUACCAAAGAUUGCUGGCAAACCACCAGAAACUACGAAGAGGCAAAGAAGGACUCCCCUACAGGUUUCAGAGAAAAAGCAAGGUUCUGCCCACUCUUGUUUAAGACAUCUAGCCUCCAAGACAGUGAGACAGUACAUUUCUGUUGUUUUAAGC
rnacentral:lncRNA from 10 species